CCUACGGGAGGCAGCAGUGAGGAAUAUUGGUCAAUGGGCGGGAGCCUGAACCAGCCAAGCCGCGUGAGGGAAGACGGUACAGUGUAUUGUAAACCUCUUUUGUCAGGGAACAAAGGCGGGGACUAGUCUCCGGAUGAGGGUACCUGAAGAAAAAGCAUCGGCUAACUCCGUGCCAGCAGCCGCGGUAAUACGGAGGAUGCGAGCGUUCUCCGGAUUUAUUGGGUUUAAAGGGAGCGUAGGUGGGUUGUUAAGUCAGUUGUGAAAAAUCGCGGCUUAACCGUAGAAUUGCAAUUGAUACUGGCAGCCUUGAGUGCAGUUGAGGUAGGCGGAAUGCGUGGUGUAGCGGUGAAAUGCUUAGAUAUCACGAAGAACUCCGAUUGCGAAGGCAGCCUACGAAACUGCCACUGACGUUGAGGCACGAAAGUGUGGGUAUCAAACAGGAUUAGAUACCCUAGUAGUC
rnacentral:rRNA from 1 species